UACGUAGGGUGCAAGCGUUAAUCGGAAUUACUGGGCGUAAAGCGUGCGCAGGCGGUUUCGUAAGUCUGUCGUGAAAUCCCCGGGCUUAACCUGGGAAUGGCGAUGGAGACUGCGAGGCUAGAGUUUGGCAGAGGGGGGUAGAAUUCCACGUGUAGCAGUGAAAUGCGUAGAGAUGUGGAGAAACACCGAUGGCGAAGGCAAUCCCCUGGGCCUGCACUGACGCUCAUGCACGAAAGCGUGGGGAGCAAACAGG
rnacentral:rRNA from 1 species